UACGUAGGUGGCAAGCGUUAUCCGGAUUUAUUGGGCGUAAAGGGAACGCAGGCGGUCUUUUAAGUCUGAUGUGAAAGCCUUCGGCUUAACCGGAGUAGUGCAUUGGAAACUGGGAGACUUGAGUGCAGAAGAGGAGAGUGGAACUCCAUGUGUAGCGGUGAAAUGCGUAGAUAUAUGGAAGAACACCAGUGGCGAAAGCGGCUCUCUGGUCUGUGACUGACGCUGAGGUUCGAAAGCGUGGGUAGCAGACAGG
rnacentral:rRNA from 1 species